CCUACGGGUGGCAGCAGUGAGGAAUAUUGGUCAAUGGGCGGAAGCCUGAACCAGCCAAGUAGCGUGCGGGAUGAAGGCCCUACGGGUCGUAAACCUCUUUUGCACGGGGAUAACACCCGCCACGUGUGGAGGUCUGCAGGGAACGUGCGAAUAAGGCCCGGCUAAUUCCGUGCCAGCAGCCGCGGUAAUACGGAAGGCCCGAGCGUUAUCCGGAUUCAUUGGGCUUAAAGGGAGCGUAGGCGGGCGUUCAAGUCAGCUGUAAAAUCGCGGGGCUCAACCGCGCCCCGCAGUUGAAACUGGACGCCUUGAGUGCACAACAGGCAGGCGGAAUUCGUGGUGUAGCGGUGAAAUGCAUAGAUAUCACGAGGAACCCCGAUUGCGAAGGCAGCCUGCCGGGGUGCGACUGACGCUGAGGCUCGAAAGCGUGGGUAUCGAACAGGAUUAGAUACCCCUGUAGUC
rnacentral:rRNA from 1 species